GGAAAGGUGGCUCAGUGGUAGAGCGCUUGCCUCACAUACAUGAGGCCCUGCUUUCCAUUCCA
rnacentral:tRNA from 1 species